GGGUGGUGGGGCGAGGGAAGGGCUCCCCAGCCUGCAGAGGCGGAGGGUGCAAUGGAGCCUGUCGGCCGGCGCGUCCCUGCAGCGCUGCGGUCUCCACGACGACUGUGGGCCGCGCAAGGCCCCCGUAGUCCGCUCUCCUAAAGCCUCGGUGAGAGCCGAGCAGCCACAGAGUGUGUGUUCACAAAGGGUCACCACACACACGGAGCUGCCCCUCCCUGUCUCCCUAAACCCCAUCUUCGAGGCCAGGGGCUUUUCUGCCAGGAUUCUGGGGUGUUUCUCCUUUCCUCCCUCCCAGAUCUUCUAACGAAAGCAGCAGCAGGCAGGAUUUGGCCCACAAACCGUUGUUUGCUGAACCCUACUCUCUAGGCCUUUGUUAGACAAACUGGUACACUGUUCAGCUACCAUCAAAACCUGGACUGUGCUAUUCAUGAAGUAUGAUUAGAAGGAGCCAUCAUAUAUCCACUCAUAUACACCACACGCUCAUCGACCUGCUGGACUCUGUAAACCCAACACAAGGUCACGGUCCAGUGUUGAGAAGUUGACUUUGCUAGUGAGGCAAGGGAUCCAUUGAGUUGGCUCAAGCGGGAGAAUAACAUGGACAGAGUUGUAUCCAAAGAUGAUAACUUUAGCAUUCAUGUGGAGGAUGUAUUUGAGAAGAACAGGCGUGGAGCAGGGAGACCAGUUAGAAGAUUACCAUCACAGUCUAGAUGAGCAACAUCAAGGACCUGAGGUAAGAGCAAAGUGGACAGACGUGAAGGGACAGUGGGUGAAUGAGAUUUAGUGACUGUUUAGAUGUGGGGCGUGAACAAGGAAGGGGAUUUAGGAUGACCCGUGGAUCUGACUUCUUAUGUUCUUUGGGUGAUGGUGCCAUUAACUGGCAUAAGGAGGGAAAAGCAAAUUCGGUAUUGGCUCAAUGAAGGCUGGGUUAUCUGUAUCACGUCCAAGUAGAGUCGCCCAAACACACGUGCGGAUGGUUGCAGCAUCACGAUGGGCACACGCACAGCGUACGAGAGCAUUCUUGGGGAGUGACUUCCUAAAACAGGUGGUUCCAGCGGGAUAGGAGUAAGAGCAGGAAGGAAUAGUGGAACGGAUCUUCUCUAGAGCAAGCGAAAAGUGACUAGAGAGCAAAAAAUGGGGGGGAACUGAAGAGAAAACAGGAUCCACGUGAAGAUAAGUUUGGUGUUUCGUGAUGCGGUUUCACAGUGGUGAACUCAACAUGCGGUGACUGUGCCCAAAUAGUGAGCAGACUCUUCACUCUGAGGCCUUCCCUGAACCCGUUUACCUUGGUCGGUUCACUGUGGUCCUGAAGCUCUUCCUCGGGCUCAGAAAUGGGAUUUAUUGUAUUUGUUAUCAUUAUUGUUGGACUGGAAGUGGUUCCAUUUCUCAGCAGUGGCCUCACAUUGACCCAGCACAGCAAGACUGAUUACUCACAUGUAAGCACACGCCUGAACGCGGUGCAUUGACUUGCAGGGGCAACUAUCGUCGGCUGUCUGGCCGACCAGGACCCAGUCCAUGGGAAGCCAAACGCCAGGAGCUUGCUGUGGGAUCAUGGGCUAGUGAUGGGGAUUGUUAGGUGACUCCAGUGUUCUCUAGUGGCAGACCCUGAGUUAUCAUGUUCUCCCUCAACAGGCACGGAUAGACAUUCCAGUUGACCUAACACGCAGGCGUUGCCUACUUCUUACUCUUUGGGUUCCCCUUGCUGGCCCUUCUAGUCACACCUUUUCUCUAAACCAGGCUCAUUGUUUGCUUCUGCUUGCCAAGUGACAAUCACUUUUUAGCCCCGUUUCCCUGGUAUGACUCACAGGUUUUGAUUGGAGUUUGGCGUUAUCCCAAGCUCUUAAGAGUCCCUCAUUUACAGAGUAGGCAAUCGUUUGAUUCCCUCCUGCGGGUUACAUCGAUUGUGUAGUUUUACCCAGGAAAAUCACGAUGACAACUUCCCAGGUCUCACGGGGCGGUCCGCAGUCACCCCCCUGUAAAGAAGAGUUGCAGAGAGCUUAGAUGAGGAGCAUCGGCUUAGAUGUAAAAGUCUUUGAAAAUCUGGCUAAGGAGUGUGUGCCUUGUCCUGUAAAUACUGGGGAGCCCCUGGAGAUGUGGGUUGGGGCAGUGUGGAUGGCUUGAUGAAAUCCACAUUCGGGGGACAUUGAUCUGGGGCUGGGGGUGAAGUGCAUUCACAUAAGGAGAAACCAAACACCAAGAGCCCAGCCAGGAAGCUGAGAUCAUGCACUUGGAUGAAAUAUGCAAGGCUGGAAUUAAAAUGGUGACAAGGUAUGGAAUGGAAAUGCCACGUUGAAUGGUCAUUGCAAAGACAGACGCAACAAGACUUGGUGACCCAAGGGCUAGAGAGAAUACAAAAGAGGAAAACAUUGGUACGCUAUUUUUCUUGAGUUGUAUGAUUGUUCCUGGCAGUGUUUCAGGUACUUAACUGUACUCACUUUAGGUGUAUGUUUAUAAGCACUACGUACGUAAAACUGUGGUUUCAGUGGGAUGAACAGUCUGUCAGAGUCUGGCACUCCCACCCUGAUUUACUUAGGACAUUUAACAGGAUGAGAAUUAUUUUUUUAAAAACUCCAACCUGUAGGCUAAUCUGGAAUAUUUUCCUCUCUCAGAUCUCUUCGGGGGAAAUGUUCCUGAUAGAAGCAGGAAGUUUGGAAGAAUAAGGAAUAGAAUUCUGAGAGGAUAGUGGAGAGGGGAGUGGGGGGGAGAGUCAUUCAGUAAGCUUUUAGUAGUCACCUACUAGAUGCCUAAGGUGGCGUGAGGUGCCGUGGAGGCUACAAAAGCUACAUAGCUGUUCCAUUUUGCAAGAGCUUAACGCCAUCUCUGGAGCCAGAUCCUACUCUAAGAAAUAACCAGAAGCAAGCAACAUAAAAGAGUGUAUAACUGAGCCGCUAAGCCGUGCGUACAGAUUAACGGUAUUUACGUACAGAUGAGUGAUGGGCCUCUGGAAGCCAUAGCAGAGAAAACAGCAAGGUUAGGAGGACAAAAAAAUCAUAGCUUGAAAGGAAUAGGCAAACUGGGACUGGUAAGUUUAGUUAACAGAUUCCAGAAGGAUUUAUCCUCUCUAUGUUGUUCCCCCCGGAGGUUUAUUCUUUGCAGAACACUUUUAUGUGUAUUAAUCUCAUUGUAGCCUUGACACAAUCCAGCAAGGGAGGCAAGGUAGGGAUUAUAAGGGGAAGGGUGGGGGGAGGAUUUGGGAGAGAUUUAUGCUGUAGAAACAGCAGGAUUUUAUGACCAAUUAAUCUUCUGGUUGAGGGUGAAGGACGAGCUGAGGAUGACCCGCCCCCACUCACUCAUUCACUCAUUAAAUCACUUGUUCAAGUACUUCUUGAGGGUCUAUUGUGUGUCUGCUCUAUGCUCCAGCGCUGGGUUUCCAGAUUCCUGGCUGGGACGAUCAGCUGGAUGAGAGUGCCUUUGCCUGCCGCAGGCAGCAGUGGAGGGAGGAUGCCUGAUGCUGACUGUCCUUCAGGUUUCCACCCUGUGAAUUCGGGCCGCCCGUGGGACACCCAGGCGAAAUUGGCAAGUAGGUAAUGUGACAGAACAGUUUGGCUUUUUCAGGAAAGAAGUCUGGGACAUGAAAUAGGUUUGGAAAUCGUUAGCCUGGAGGUGAGCGUUAAGACUGAGAACGGGUUAGGUGACCUAGGGAGAUCUUGGUUAAGACAUUUAACAAUUCUGCGUUUUCGGUUUCCUUCUGUGGGAGAUGGAGAAGAUAUCUUAUAGCACAGGAUUGUCUUUGAUCGGAUGAAUGUGAAUGGGCCUGGGAAACAGCAACGUAUUAUAGAUAUUGAAAAUGCUAUUACUGAGGGGCGCCUGGGUGGCUCAGUCGGUUAAGCGACCGACUUCGGCUCAGGUCAUGAUCUCACGGUCCGUGAGUU